rnacentral:rRNA from 1 species
UACAGAGGUCCCAAGCGUUGUUCGGAUUCACUGUGCGUAAAGGGUGCGUAGGCGGUCGGGUAAGUCUGAUGUGAAAUCUCACAGCUUAACUGUGAAACUGCAUUGGAUACUAUUCGGCUUGAGAGUUGGAGGGGGGACUGGAAUUCUUGGUGUAGCAGUGAAAUGCGUAGAUAUCAAGAGGAACACCAGUGGCGAAGGCGAGUCCCUGGACAACUUCUGACGCUGAGGCACGAAAGCUAGGGGAGCAAACAGG